rnacentral:rRNA from 1 species
AGGACGAACGCUGGCGGCGUGCCUAACACAUGCAAGUCGAGCGAGGAGAUCCUCGGGAUGAUCCUAGCGGCGGACGGGUGAGUAACACGUGGGCAACCUGCCUCAUAGAGAGGAAUAGCCUUCCGAAAGGGAGAUUAAUACCUCAUAACAUUGCAGUUUCGCAUGAAACAGCAAUUAAAGGAGCAAUCCGCUAUGAGAUGGGCCCGCGGCGCAUUAGCUAGUUGGUGAGGUAACGGCUCACCAAGGCGACGAUGCGUAGCCGACCUGAGAGGGUGAUCGGCCACAUUGGGACUGAGACACGGCCCAGACUCCUACGGGAGGCAGCAGUGGGGAAUAUUGCACAAUGGGGGAAACCCUGAUGCAAGCAACGCCGCGUGAGUGAUGACGGCCUUCGGGUUGUAAAGCUCUGUCUUCAGGGACGAUAAUGACGGUACCUGAGGAGGAAGCCACGGCUAACUACGUGCCAGCCGCUGC